CCUACGGGGGGCAGCAGUCGGGAAUAUUGCGCAAUGGAGGAAACUCUGACGCAGUGACGCCGCGUGCAGGAAGAAGGUUUUCGGAUUGUAAACUGCUUUAGACAGGGAAGAAAAAAGACAGUACCUGUAGAAUAAGCUCCGGCUAACUACGUGCCAGCAGCCGCGGUAAUACGUAGGGAGCAAGCGUUAUCCGGAUUUAUUGGGUGUAAAGGGUGCGUAGACGGAGAAGCAAGUUAGUUGUGAAAUCCCUCGGCUUAACUGAGGAACUGCAACUAAAACUACUUCCCUUGAGUACUGGAGAGGAA
rnacentral:rRNA from 1 species